rfam:Weissella paramesenteroides ATCC 33313 genomic scaffold SCAFFOLD1, whole genome shotgun sequence.
CACAGGGUAGAUUGAGACGCGUUAAGUGCCAUAGAAACGGAAUGUGGGCUAUGGACGAAGGAUUACCGCGAUGUCUUGAUCACAUUCACUGUA